rnacentral:rRNA from 1 species
AGCUCCAAUAGCGUAUAUUAAAGUUGUUGCAGUUAAAAAGCUCGUAGUUGGAUUUGUGGCUGUCGCGUGCGGCCUGGCACUUAGUGCCGGUGUUUGCUUGCGUCGCCAUCCUUGGGUGGAACCUGUGUGGCAUUAGGUUGUCGCGCAGGGGAUGCCCAUCGUUUACUGUGAAAAAAUUAGAGUGUUCAAAGCAGGCUUAUGCCGUUGAAUAUAUUAGCAUGGAAUAAUAAGAUAGGACCUUGGUACUAUUUUGUUGGUUUGCGCACCAAGGUAAUGAUUAAUAGGGACAGUUGGGGGUAUUCGUAUUCCAUUGUCAGAGGUGAAAUUCUUGGAUUUUUGGAAGACGAACUACUGCGAAAGCAUUUACCAAGGAUGUUUUCAUUAAUCAAGAACGAAAGUA